CCUACGGGGGGCUGCAGUGGGGAAUAUUGGACAAUGGGCGAAAGCCUGAUCCAGCAAUGCCGCGUGGGUGAAGAAGGUCUUCGGAUCGUAAAGCCCUUUCGACGGGGACGAUGAUGACGGUACCCGUAGAAGAAGCCCCGGCUAACUUCGUGCCAGCAGCCGCGGUAAUACGAAGGGGGCUAGCGUUGCUCGGAAUUACUGGGCGUAAAGGGCGCGUAGGCGGCGGCCCAAGUCAGGCGUGAAAUUCCUGGGCUCAACCUGGGGACUGCGCUUGA
rnacentral:rRNA from 1 species